rnacentral:rRNA from 1 species
GAUGAACGCUGGCGGCGUGCCUAAUACAUGCAAGUCGAGCGAACGGACGAGAAGCUUGCUUCUCUGAUGUUAGCGGCGGACGGGUGAGUAACACGUGGAUAACCUACCUAUAAGACUGGGAUAACUUCGGGAAACCGGAGCUAGUACCGGAUAAUAUUUUGAACCGCAUGGUUCAAAAGUGAAAGACGGUCUUGCUGUCACUUAUAGAUGGAUCCGCGCUGCAUUAGCUAGUUGGUAAGGUAACGGCUUACCAAGGCAACGAUGCAUAGCCGACCUGAGAGGGUGAUCGGCCACACUGGAACUGAGACACGGUCCAGACUCCUACGGGAGGCAGCAGUAGGGAAUCUUCCGCAAUGGGCGAAAGCCUGACGGAGCAACGCCGCGUGAGUGAUGAAGGUCUUCGGAUCGUAAAACUCUGUUAUUAGGGAAGAACAUAUGUGUAAGUAACUGUGCACAUCUUGACGGUACCUAAUCAGAAAGCCACGGCUAACUACGUGCCAGCAGCCGCGGUAAUACGUAGGUGGCAAGCGUUAUCCGGAAUUAUUGGGCGUAAAGCGCGCGUAGGCGGUUUUUUAAGUCUGAUGUGAAAGCCCACGGCUCAACCGUGGAGGGUCAUUGGAAACUGGAAAACUUGAGUGCAGAAGAGGAAAGUGGAAUUCCAUGUGUAGCGGUGAAAUGCGCAGAGAUAUGGAGGAACACCAGUGGCGAAGGCGACUUUCUGGUCUGUAACUGACGCUGAUGUGCGAAAGCGUGGGGAUCAAACAGGAUUAGAUACCCUGGUAGUCCACGCCGUAAACGAUGAGUGCUAAGUGUUAGGGGGUUUCCGCCCCUUAGUGCUGCAGCUAACGCAUUAAGCACUCCGCCUGGGGAGUACGACCGCAAGGUUGAAACUCAAAGGAAUUGACGGGGGCCCGCACAAGCGGUGGAGCAUGUGGUUUAAUUCGAAGCAACGCGAAGAACCUUACCAAAUCUUGACAUCCUUUGACAACUCUAGAGAUAGAGCCUUCUCCUUCGGGGGACAAAGUGACAGGUGGUGCAUGGUUGUCGUCAGCUCGUGUCGUGAGAUGUUGGGUUAAGUCCCGCAACGAGCGCAACCCUUAAGCUUAGUUGCCAUCAUUAAGUUGGGCACUCUAAGUUGACUGCCGGUGACAAACCGGAGGAAGGUGGGGAUGACGUCAAAUCAUCAUGCCCCUUAUGAUUUGGGCUACACACGUGCUACAAUGGACAAUACAAAGGGCAGCGAAACCGCGAGGUCAAGCAAAUCCCAUAAAGUUGUUCUCAGUUCGGAUUGUAGUCUGCAACUCGACUACAUGAAGCUGGAAUCGCUAGUAAUCGUAGAUCAGCAUGCUACGGUGAAUACGUUCCCGGGUCU